UAAUCAUCUUGGAGAAGUUUCAACACAAUUAAUCAUUUCACAUAGCAAAAUUGAAAAUACAAUCAUUUCUGGAAAUUCUAAGAUUCCAAACUACAAUCUGUUUCUUUUAUGCAUAUUUUGAAAAUGACACUUGCUGAAUGUCUAUAGGAACGUGUCAAAAACAUGAAACCAGAAUCUACAUGUUUCAAAAAAAAGCUUUCCAAUUGAAAACAUGAAAUUAGAGAGACAACUUUUACUUCAUUUUUCUCCUUAAAAUUGCUAAUAACAAUUCAAUGCUCAAGAGCAAAUAUACACAGCUCAACAAUGUCCAAUGUUCCCCAACACUGAGCAAUAUGAAUUUAGCUACUUCCUCGUAGUUUCUAUUGUGUGAGUUUCCUUGCACAAAAUUUAGCUCACUUUAACAUGCUCAUGUUAAAAAGAUUUGCAAUUCAAGUUAUAAUUUUAGGGAUUGAAUAGGCUACAGAGUGGAGAAAAUAGGAAGCCAAACGGAAUUGAACAGAAAAUGGCCAUAAUGGUUAAAUGUACAAGAGGAUUACGUGGGAGCAUAAUAAGGCCUGUCGGAGUUUCAUGCAUCUUGGCUAAUUGAAAAGACAAUCAAGUAUAUAACCGGAAUUCCGUCUUCUCCAGCUCCAAAGAUGCCAUCCCACUUCUAAGACAAGGUCAAAACUGCCAUUUUAUCUAGGUCCGAUGACAAUUCUUAUCAAUGUUAAUCACACAGGGCUAUUGAAGACAAUCAAAUAAUAAGAAAGCUUAGUUAUACAGGAACAAGAGAGCAUGGUCGAGAAUUAGAGAGUUGAAAAGGGGAAAGUAGAGUUUACCCUUCUAAUUACAGUAUCAAGUUCCAUCCGUAUUGAGUUGAUGGCUUACACUGAUUAAGGCAAAAAUCCCUUAUCCUGGGUUGGCAAGAGUUUCAAGUUGGAAUAUGAUAGCUCAUCUUUGGCCACCACUGCAUCCCAUUUGGGAGAGGAGGUGGGAUUGGUUAUCCUGAGACAUGUACUCUUCUCGAUUCUCAGUUACGAAAAUGUGGACUAGAUUAUUUUCAGGGUUUCAAGGUUUUAUCCAGAACUUUAUUUGUCAUAAACUAACCACAAGCUGAGGUAGACACCAAGGGAAAAUAAUGUAAAGAUGAAAUGACUUCCCAAAAGAGUUCUAUAUCCGUGAUUCAUUUGGCAACUGUCAAAAAAGUGGCUGCAUGUUAAUGAACUCCCAGUCUCCAAGGAUGAGUC
rnacentral:sRNA from 1 species